rnacentral:tRNA from 1 species
GAUGUGUAACUCAGUUGGUUCAGAGUAGCGGUCUCUUAAACCGAAGGUCGUGGGUUCGAGUCCCACUACAUCC